GGUUUAUUUCGAAUGCUUUCGUGGCAUGUUGAGGUGUAACGCGCCUCUGCAGCCUCGGGUUUUUGAGACGCCACCUCGAACGCCUUGAUGUGCAUCGACAGUGAUGACAAAACCAUGAAGCUCACGCUGUCUGGCUCCGACUCAAUAUCCUGCCUCCAUGCGUUUGUCUAUAAGGGCCUCUGAUUAUGUCGGCAUGAGAAACUUGAUGAGGAAAAUACUGUUUGCUCGAGACCGCCGCCCUGGUGGAGGACACCCAGCUCAACAACCUCGUAAGAAGCGGACAUAAGAGGUCCAGAAAAGGAUGUAGAUCCAUGUGUCCUGCCAGAAAACCCUCAGCGAGCUAAACUACCCAGAGCUGUUUUUGUUUUCUUUAUUCUGUUUGCCUAGUUACCGUUUUUAUUGCAUUUGUUGACACUGUUUGCUUUGCGGACUCCGAAUCAGCUCCAGCGCGUUUAAUGUAAGAGACGUCCAUUCAUCCGCACACAGCCGUCUGCCAGAGCCAGACUCAGCCCUGUCCCCAAGCCCCGGAUGUUUGGGGUCGGGAUGUGGAAGUACGGC
rnacentral:lncRNA from 1 species